rnacentral:rRNA from 1 species
UACGUAGGGUCCAAGCGUUAUCCGGAUUUAUUGGGCUUAAAGGGUGCGUAGGCGGCUUAUUAAGUCAGUGGUGAAAGCCUGCAGCUUAACUGCAGAACUGCCAUUGAUACUGAUGAGCUUGAAUAUACUUGAGGUGGGCGGAAUGUGUCAUGUAGCGGUGAAAUGCUUAGAUAUGACACAGAACACCGAUUGCGAAGGCAGCUCGCUAAAGUAUGAUUGACGCUGAGGCACGAAAGCGUGGGGAGCAAACAGG